rnacentral:rRNA from 1 species
GGGUUGAAGGAUACUAGGCAUAUGAGCGUGGAAGAAACGGUUGCCAUGUUUCUUCACAUACUUGCACAUGAUGAGAAAAACCGAGCAAUCCAUCAUGAUUUCCAGCGUUCACCUGAAGUGGUAAGUCGGAAAUUCCAUGAAGUACUAGGCGCAGUUUUAAAACUCUGGAAAGUGUUGCUUAAGAAGCCUCGACCAAUUCCAGCCAAUUGCGCUGAUGGAAGGUGGAAGUGCUUUAAGAAUUGUUUAGGUGCCUUAGAUGGGACAUAUAUAGAAGUUCAUGUGCCCAAAACUGACAAACCAAGAUUCCGUUCAAGAAAGAAUGAAGUUGCAACAAAU